rnacentral:tRNA from 1 species
GUCCCUGUAGCGCAAUCGAUAGCGCUUUGAACUUCUAAUCCAAAAAUCGUGGUUUUGAAUCCCACCUGGAAUG